GACGAACGCUGGCGGCGUGCUUAACACAUGCAAGUCGAACGGAAAGGCCCUGCUUUUGUGGGGUGCUCGAGUGGCGAACGGGUGAGUAACACGUGUGUAACCUGCCCUUGACUUUGGGAUAACUUCAGGAAACUGGGGCUAAUACCGGAUAGGAGCUCCUGCUGCAUGGUGUGGGUUGGAAAGUUUCGGCGGUUGGGGAUGGACUCGCGGCUUAUCAGCUUGUUGGUGGGGUAGUGGCUUACCAAGGCUUUGACGGGUAGCCGGCCUGAGAGGGUGACCGGGCACAUGGGGAAUGAGAUACGGCCCAGACUCCUACGGGAGGCAGCAGUGGGGAAUAUUGCACAAUGGGCGGAAGCCUGAUGCAGCAACGCCGCGUGCGGGAUGACGGCCUUCGGGUUGUAAACCGAUUUCGCCUGUGACGAAGCGUGAGUGACGGUAAUGGGUAAAGAAGCACCGGCUAACUACGU
rnacentral:rRNA from 1 species